rnacentral:rRNA from 1 species
UACGUAGGGUGCAAGCGUUGUCCGGAAUUAUUGGGCGUAAAGAGCUCGUAGGCGGUCUGUCGCGUCGGAUGUGAAAACCCAGGGCUCAACCCUGGGCCUGCAUUCGAUACGGGCAGACUAGAGUUCGGUAGGGGAGACUGGAAUUCCUGGUGUAGCGGUGAAAUGCGCAGAUAUCAGGAGGAACACCGAUGGCGAAGGCAGGUCUCUGGGCCAUAACUGACGCUGAGAAGCGAAAGCAUGGGGAGCGAACAGG